AUGAAUCCAAAGCAAUUUAAUCUGAUAUUAGCCAAAACUCUUAUUAACAAACCAAGAACAGCUGUUGGUUUGCCAGACUGGGGUGUGGCUUGUUUGUGUCCUGUUAAGAUGGCCACGAUGCCUCACCAGAAACACAAAUCCCUGUUACUGGUGGUAGACCUAGCUGUAAAACACUCUUCUGGCAGGAAACUAAUGUAUCCUAAUGAUGAUUUCCAGGAGAUUAAGCUUCUUUUCUGUCUGCUGUUAGACUGGAGGAGAGCAGGAUCUGCUAUCUUCUCUGGAGAGCCAGAGGUUAUAAUCAUCCAUUAUAAGGCUGGCUUCCUACUUCUUUACCUUACUACAGCAAUUUAAUUUACCUUAUUUCUGAGUCAGUAUCCUGGGAACUGAAAUCUGUUCCUUCUGGAACACUGACCGAAAUGUGGUUGAUCUCAGGAUGCGGUUAUUUUCUCAGGUAGGUCUCUGGGCAUGCAAAUACACUAACUAUAGUUAGUUAACUAUACACAGUUCAGUCAGGAAGCACAGGUGUGUUCUUAGGCUCGUGUAAGACUUGUACUGCACAGCUGUAUUUAAAUCAAGUGCAGAUCAAUAAAAAUGUUGUGUUUUAGCUUAUUAAAUCUUGC
ensembl:lncRNA